rfam:Exophiala spinifera strain CBS 89968 unplaced genomic scaffold supercont1.7, whole genome shotgun sequence.
GGUUUUGUAGUGUAGCGGUUAUCACUCCGGAUUCUGAGAAUUUGUCCCCUUCGAUGAAAACAAAACGAAGUAUUCCGGCAACCCCGGUUCGAAUCCGGGCAAGACCU